UACGUAGGGGGCGAGCGUUGUCCGGAUUUAUUGGGCGUAAAGAGCUCGUAGACGGUUAUUUAAGUCGGGUGUGAAAGCCCCGGGCUCAACCUGGGAAUUGCAUUCGAGACUGAAUAGCUAGGGUACGGUAGAGGGAAGCGGAAUUUCCGGUGUAGCGGUGAAAUGCGUAGAUAUCGGAAGGAACAUCAGUGGCGAAAGCGGCUUCCUGGACCAGUACCGACGUUCAGGCACGAAAGCGUGGGGAGCAAACAGG
rnacentral:rRNA from 1 species